AUGGAGACAGCAGCGGACGCGCAGUCAGGUACGAGCGGCGGCAGCGGUGCCGCCAUGAGAUCUGAUCUCGACGAGUUCAUGGAGUAGCUAAACCUGGAUGAUGAAGUCUUUGACGAUCUGGUGAUUGAUGAGAACGAUCCCGAGAUCAAUGAAAGUGUUAGAUGGCUAGCCCUAGAUAGGGUUCACACUGACAAAACCUUCAGCCCGGCCGCCUUCUACAAGGAUAUGCGGGCGGCGUGGAACCCUGCUCAGCAGGUGAGAUUCCGUCCAGUUGGCCCCAACCUGUUCGUUGUUCAAGCCGCAUGCCUCGGUGACUGGGAACGGAUGACUGAGCAAGGUCCGUGGCUAUUCAGAAACUUCCUAGUGCUGAUGUGUCCGUAUGAUGGCUUCACCAAGGCAGAGGAGGUUCCUAUGGUGUUCAUGCUAAUUUGGCUCCAGAUCCACAAACUCCCAAAGGGUUUUUGCAAGAAAGGUAUUGUGGAACAUCUUCUCAGAAACUCAAGGAAGAUCUUGGAGAUGAGGUUGAAUGGGAAUACUCGCGGUGACUAUGUGAGAAUUAGGCAUCAUGAUGUGUGUCAGCCCUUAACCAAAUUCGUCAGUAUUGUAAGAGGCAAGGAGCGUCAGGUUUUCCUGGUGCGAUAUGAGAUGCUUGCUCGCUUUUGUAGCGUCUGUGGCAUUAUAGAUCAUGAGUUCAAAGAAUGUGGUACUGGAAUUCAUGAGGAGAAAAGCAAGAAGUUUGGCGCCUGGUUGUAUGCGGAUGGCCCUAACAAACCACUGUUAGGGAACGUAGUAAUUUCAAAAAAAUUCCUACGCACACGCAAGAUCAUGGUGAUGCAUAGCAACGAGAGGGGAGAGUGUGAUCUAGGUACCCUUGUAGAUCGACAACUGAAGCGUUUGGUUGAUGUAGUCAUACGUCUCCACGGCCCGACCGAUCAAGCACCGAAACUACGACACCUCCGAGUUCUAGCACACGUUCAACUCGAUGACGAUCCCCGGACUCCGAUCCAGCAAAGUGUCGGGGAAGAGUUCCGUCAGCACGACGGCGUGGUGACGAUCUUGAUGCACUACCAUCGCAGGGCUUCGCCUAAGCACCGCUGCAAUAUUAUCGAGGACUAUGGUGGAGGGGGGCACCGCACACGGCUAAGAAUAUGA
rnacentral:rRNA from 1 species